rnacentral:tRNA from 1 species
GGGUCUGUAGCCUUGAGGCUACGCUUCCGCUUCAUAAGCGGAAGGUCAUGGGUUCGAUUCCCAGCCCCU